CACGUAGGGGCAAGCGUUGUCCGGAUUUAUUGGGCGUAAAGAGCUCGUAGGCGGUUUCGUAAGUCGGAUGUGAAAACUCCAGCUCAACUUGGAGACGCCAUUCGAUACUGCGAUGACUUGAGUCCGGUAGGGGAGUGUGGAAUUCCUGGUGUAGCGGUGAAAUGCGCAGAUAUCAGGAGGAACACCGGCGGCGAAGGCGGCACUCUGGGCCGGUACUGACGCUGAGGAGCGAAAGCGUGGGUAGCAAACAGG
rnacentral:rRNA from 1 species